rnacentral:rRNA from 1 species
GUACACUCCUACGGGAGGCAGCAGUGGGGAAUUUUGGACAAUGGGCGAAAGCCUGAUCCAGCAAUGCCGCGUGUGUGAAGAAGGCCUUCGGGUUGUAAAGCACUUUUGUCCGGAAAGAAAUCCUUGGCUCUAAUACAGUCGGGGGAUGACGGUACCGGAAGAAUAAGCACCGGCUAACUACGUGCCAGCAGCCGCGGUAAUACGUAGGGUGCGAGCGUUAAUCGGAAUUACUGGGCGUAAAGCGUGCGCAGGCGGUUUGCUAAGACCGAUGUGAAAUCCCCGGGCUCAACCUGGGAACUGCAUUGGUGACUGGCAGGCUAGAGUAUGGCAGAGGGGGGUAGAAUUCCACGUGUAGCAGUGAAAUGCGUAGAGAUGUGGAGGAAUACCGAUGGCGAAGGCAGCCCCCUGGGCCAAUACUGACGCUCAUGCACGAAAGCGUGGGGAGCAAACAGGAUUAGAAACCCUGGUAGUCCCAUGAU